UUUUGCACUAGCAGCUGCAAACCCAAGAUCCCGUUUUUAUAGGAUAAUUCUACGACUCGGCUGGGAAAUGUGAUCGUGGAUCAGCAUAUUUAUGCAUUGCGUGAAGUAACUACGUGAACUGAACUCUUCUGGGACGGACAGAGAGAUCGAAAAACAGUAGAAGCUGACAGCAAGGAGAUGAGCAACGUGUAUGAGAAAGAAGAAAUUCUGCUUUGGGAAAGAGUUUAUUUUAGGAACUGAACAGACCGGAGAAUCAAGGAUACGGGAGCGUUCUCACUUUGACGGUGUUGUGCUCCCUCCUGCUGGAUAAACUAAAUAUGACAGAAGAUCUUGAGAUUUUCUGUCUUUAAAAGUUUAAGCUUGGUGCAGAUUCUCGGGUGGUAGGUAAAUAAACAUUUUAAAAUAUUACAAAAAAAAGACAGAUGAAAUGAAAUCAAGCCAGGGAGCAGCAAACAACGUAACAACAUCUCAAAUAAAAAUUAAGUACAAUAAUUAUUCCUUAAUUAUGCAGAGCUUUGGGACAUGUGAAGGGGAAGCUAAGAUAACACAGCUGCCUGCUUAGCUCACUGUUGGCCCAGUGAAAAGGAGAACACACUAGGAGCUGAGAAUGAAUGGGGUGGCAAACAAGAACUGCUGGCCAAAUGGGGAAAUGACUUACACUUACAGGACAGGGCAGGACAGUAUGACAGACUGCACAGAUGGCCUCCUGGUCUUCUACACAGAAGAACAGAAGUUAGUCUAGAUGACACACUGAGCUUCAGCUGGUUCUGCAGCUAUCAUCUCACCUUCCUGCUUCAUGUAGGACUUGCCGUUGUUUUUUAAAGCCAGAUGGACAGCAGGGUUUGGCAAAGGGGACACUGUCUGACACAGUGGACAUUCCAGGAAACUCCUCUCUUCCCAAGCAAGCUCUACAGAAGGUGUGACCACAGGGAAGCAGGACUGGCUCCCAGUGUACAAGGUGCAGUGUAUGUCUUCAUGCAAAAAUGAAGGGUUACUGGCCAUUUUCUGGUUGCUCCAAGUCGCUCAUCUGGUUUCGUUUUCACCUGCUCCUCCACAAACCUGUUUCACCUGCUGUUCAGCUUGUAUUAAAGGUGGCUGCACCCAGUCACAUUCACUGGGAAAGGUCAUCUCUAUGGGAGGGAGACGUGGGUACAUGUCUGUGAGACAGGGAACACUUUACUUCUGUAUCACAAACAUCUCUAUAUGCAGUGUGUGCUGUGUGGAUGUGGUCAAAGCUUCUC